AUUGUUCUACUGCGAUAAUGAAGCAAUAUAAGGGCUUGGGUGGAAAAGUGGCUGGACCCGAGCCACUGAUCUCAUUUCAGUUAACUGAAAUAGAGAUUCUACCAAAAACACAUAGUAACGAAAUAAUUAAAUAGUCCUUAUUAUUUAUUUCAGCUAUGGGACCUACGAGAAUACUACGAAGUGUUUGCAAUGUAGUUCAUUGAAAACUCCCAUGCGCUGUUCUCGAACUGCGCAGAUGUUGGCUAUUGGCAGCGCUACAGUUGUAGGGUCACCGGCUCCUCCGCGGGCUGUACUGGACCACUUGGUACCGGCGAAGCCCAAGAUAGUAUAAGAUGAAAUAUGAAAUUAUAUGAUUCAAUGUGAAAACCUGGUGAUGGCGCUGCUGUUGCUUAAAGGCCUGCCAACGUGACAAAAUGUACACACACGUAUGGGCAAUGUUCUACACCUCUUAAUAAUUGUUGUAAAGAGUAACGAAUUCAGGAACGCAAAUCCUUAUCUUCGUGAAGGAACGAGUUCGUUGGCACGAAGUACGUUGGUGAAAUAACUGUGUAUCGUGGUACAUCCUGCAUAGUGCAGCUAGUAGUUCCAAAUCACCUUAAAGUCGGCCGGCAAAAUAGGCUCAGCAGCCUUUUGUUACAUUUUUGUGUAGGGGUUCGUUGACCGUUCCAGUUGGUUGGGUUCGGCUUAAAAAAGUCGAAAUUCAAACAGUCGAUAAAACCGGAAUCGAUCUCCUGCAUCCGGUGUUUCGCUGGGAAUAUGCAUUAAGCCAAAUACAUGAAGCAGCGGGCUUGGUCUAAUAAUGUUUCAUAAACACGCAACAAGUAGACAUAUCAAUAA